rnacentral:tRNA from 1 species
ACCAGAAUGGCAGAGUGGCUAAGGUGUUGGACUUAAGAGCCAAUGGACCUGUGCCUCUAUGGGUUCAAACCCCACUCCUGGUA